UUUUUGUUUUUGUUUUUACAGAUGAGGAAAUGGGCAAAAUGGGGAUAAAAAAUCCACCAUUUACCGUUUAGCAUAAUAGAGACGGGCACUGCAUUGAGCACCUUAAAUGAACACUGAUCGUAAACAAUAGCUAAUACGACCCUCUCGUUGGUACCCUUCACUUUUUUACACAUUUGACCAGCAAACGAGGACAGAGCCUGUGUUUAAGUUGAAAUACAAGGAUCAGGUGGGAAAUGCCCACUGGCAGAGCACAGGAGAGGAGUGAUGGCUGUUGGCUGAGCCAGAACAUAAAGUUUUUCAGGGCAUGAAGUUAUCUUUGUCUUCUAGCUUAGUUUGAUGGAUUGUUUUAAAGGAGCUGGUAUUGUCAUACCGGGGGAAAAAAAAAAGUCAUCAAAGUGUGCUAAGAAAAGGCUAUUUGGGGCAGGUUCCAGCACAAGGAAUGCCUCCCCCAAAUAACCCCUAUUGUUGCAGCUACUCCUUAUCGGUCCUGCCAGGAGCACCAUAAAUCACCUCUAAAUUGACUAUUAUGUCAUUAUUGGGCAUUGGAUGACAAAUAUUCUGGGCAACCUCAUGGAUUCCAGGGAGAUAGUUUUCUGGCUCGUGUCAACUCAAACAAAAGUACUUAGGAGCAGUGCUGAAUUUAUGCCACCUUUUGAAUCUCCGAAUCUCUUCUAUCAUCUUUUUUUUUUUUUUUUUAAUGCAAUAAACAGUCAGGAAAAGUUAGUUCCAGCAUCCUGGCAUAAUGGUGGUGAAUGAAAAUAUGCCCGAUUCAGAGAUGCUGUCAUUGUUUUAGACUCUAUUUGAAACUGCCUACAAAGAGGUAAGAACUUUACCUGCCCAGGAAUGCGCACUUUUGCAGGUAUCUGGUGGGAUCAACCUUACAGAGAAUGCAGAGCCGAGCAGCCAGGGGCCCAUCGGGGGCCAUAGGGUGUAAUCAUGCCAGAUUUCAAGAGUGAUCCUCUCAUGAGAGGCAGCCAAUCCAUCUAAUCCUGAGCCAGGGAGGAGUAGUUAUUCAGGGGUGGUGCUAUGUACCCUUUAUGAAUUAUGCAUCUUAAACAAACUUCCAUGCACCUGGGCACUCGAGUGGAAGCCUUUUAGCUAGAAGGAGGCCACCAGAGAGCCCCAUUAUGGAUCUCUGCAAUGGUUUUUAAAUGUUGUAUUUCAUCACUCACGUCAGGCAGAGUGCUGGCUGUGACUCAGGUCCUGGUUGCGAUCCAUUCCCGUUUGUACACGGAUGGCCAUCUUACAGCUUUUUUCAUCAUGGAGCUUUCAAAAUACUGCUGCCCUUGAGGUGAAAAUUACUAGGAUUACCACUUUCUUGUUUUAGGGGCUACAAGGAGGGCUUGGCCAUGCCCUAUGGGCUCCUGAGUGCCAGUGGUGCCCUGAGACAGAUUCCAAACAGGACAGAGAAAGGGUGGGAAGUUCCAUAUUGUUUGGGAAGAGGACAGUGGGGGAGAGAAGCAACAGGAAGGAAGAAAUGUACUUGGAGAGCAGUAAAUGCUCCCCCAGAAAUACAGAACUUGUUCAUGUCCAGAGCUGCUCAGUUCAACACAAGAGCACGGGUUUCAUAAUAGAGAAACCCGAGCAUGAUAAGGAACACACAGGACUAGGAAUCAAGAUAUAUGGACCUAGAACACUGCUGCCUGCUGGAUACCCAAUAAUCAAUAGCUGAAAUAUAUUUGAUUGGGUGGUAUUGAACUGAAAUAAUUUGCUUGACUCUACAUUGAACUAUCUCUAAUUGGGGACAAUACUACUACUACCUAGAAUUUAUUGAGUAGUGAGUAUAUAGCAAGUGUUUUAGGUUUGCACAUGCAUUGUCACAUUUAAUCUCAGCCACUCUGUAAGAUAAGCACUGCAGUAUUUCCAUUUUGUAAAUAAGGAAAAGGAGGCUUUGAACAGGCUAAUAAGCAGGGGGUGACUGGGUGGCUCAGUCAGCUAAGAGUCCAAAUCUUGGUCUUGGCUCAGGUCCUGAUGUCAAGGUCAUGAGAUUGAGCCCCUCGGGGGGCUCCAAGCUCAGAUGAGUCUGCUUGAGAUUCUCUCCAUCCCUCUGCGCCCCUUGCCCUGCUUGCUCACUCUCUCUCAAAUAAGUAAAUAAUAUCUUAAAAACAAAACAAAAAAAGAGGCUAAGCAGGUUUUCUUGCAAUCAUAUUGCCCAGAAGUGACACAACUAUGAUUCAAACCCAAACAACUCUUUUGUUGGCCCUCUUCAAGAGUAUGCCAUAUUGUCUAGCACCAGUCCUUAACUUGUCAAGGGGUGACCAUAACCCAUGCCUUACCCACCUCAUAAGGAUUAUUUCUGGUUUCAACAGAAGCAGUGAAACUCAAAGCAAGUAAUCAAGUGCUGUUAAAGCUAAUGGCACCAUUAGUAUUUCCUAAAUCCAGUCUAUAAUCAUGGUUAACAAGGGUAGGCAUCUGGGGCAGAUAUCUGGGCAUGGAUUCAAGUGUUAAGUCCUGCCACUUCCUAGCUGCAUGAAUAUGGACAAAUUAUUUAGCUUCCCCCAGCCUCAGGUGCCCCACCUAUAAACUGGGGAUAAUAAUGAUCCCUACCUCCUAGAGGGUUUUGGGGGGUUUAAAUGAGAUAAUCCCUAUAAAGUCAUAAGCACAGCACUUUGGAGAUUCCCAGCAUUUGUGAAUGAGUAACUUCUAUUAGUGUUAACUUAUCAUCCCUAUAAGCUCAUUCUCUCCAAGUACUGGCUAGGCUCUAGUUUGAAAAACCAGGAGCUAGAGCUUCCUGCACUUGUCUCUGAGCACCUGAUGAGCCACAGCCCCUCUGAUUACACCUCUGGAGCACCAAUGGUAGCCAGCCUGGGAACUGGAAAUGCAUGAGACUCUGUAGACUGUCUUGAUGGCCAGAGUGACAGGAACAAUGACUGUUCUGCUGUCAUCAUCAUGAAAGAAAAGCCUCCCUUGCACCUGGAUGUCCCCACUCCCUGGAGUCACCCAGUUGACCAUAUUCAUCAUCUAAGUACCUGUGUAAUUUGUAAGACUGUCCUUCCUGUCUGAGUAUAACCAGUUAGUUGCCCCUUUCCUCUCUGAAAGAAAUUUGUCAUCUCCUGUCAUGCACCAUAUUUAAGGGAUCGUUGCUAACAGUUAUGCUUCUUUAGAAAGAUAAAUCCAGGGGCACCUGGGUGGCUCAGUCAGUUGAGUGUCUGACUCUUGGUUUCAGCUCAGAUUGUGAUCUUGGGGUCAUAAGAUUGAACUCCAGGUUGGGCUCCAUACUCAGUGGGGAGUCUGCCUGGGAUUCUCUCCCUCCCUCCUUCUACCCC
rnacentral:lncRNA from 1 species